rnacentral:rRNA from 1 species
ACUGUGUGUUGUUGGGUAGGGGAGCGUUCUGUAAGCCUGCGAAGGUGUCCCGUGAGGGAUGCUGGAGGUAUCAGAAGUGCGAAUGCUGACAUAAGUAACGAUAAAGCGGGUGAAAAGCCCGCUCGCCGGAAGACCAAGGGUUCCUGUCCAACGUUAAUCGGGGCAGGGUGAGUCGACCCCUAAGGCGAGGCCGAAAGGCGUAGUCGAUGGGAAACGGGUUAAUAUUCCCGUACUUGGUGUUACUGCGAAGGGGGGACGGAGAAGGCUAUGUUGGCCGGGCGACGGUUGUCCCGGUUUAAGCGUGUAGGCUGGUUUUCCAGGCAAAUCCGGAAAAUCAAGGCUGAGGCGUGA